rnacentral:tRNA from 3 species
GCAGAAGUGGCGGAAUUGGCAGACGCGCACGGUUCAGGUCCGUGUGGUAGCAAUACCGUGAGGGUUCAAGUCCCUUCUUCUGCAC